UCUCUCUCUCUCUCUCUCUCUCUCUCUCUCAAACUCCUUCUGUUUCUCAAAUAUCUUUUCCUCUUUUAUUAUAUACAUUUUCCUUUUCCUACUCUCUCUCUCUCUCACGUUCCUCUAUUUGUCUUCAACCAAUCUUAAUUGAAUGGGCAACCAAUUAAGAAUAUAGUCCUGAUUCUUGUGGGUUCCUUUCAAUUGAACUAUUAUUGUGUCCUGGAUUUAUAUUUUUUGCAAUUUGUUUGAAUUGCUCAAAGAUCAUAUCAUAGUAUCUAUUAAAUAUGAGUUCUUAGUGGUGAUCUCGACUUGUGUUUCGGGGGAGAGAAAGCGUUUUGCAGCCGCGAAUGCCGUUACCAGGAGAUGUUGUUCAACAGGGUAAUUGAGAAGCAUGAUUUGGAUUAAGAUCUUGGAAUCUGUCCAUGAACUCUUCCCAAUCUCUCCUCUCUAUCUCUAUUUUGGAUUCCUUGCAGGUUGAAGUUGGGUUAAUUUGUAAAUUCUCAAAUUUUUUAUAAUACCAGUAUCAAUCAAACCAUCAAUCAAUCUAAGGAAUGGAGACUCAAGAGUAGUCUAAGUUGAUUUGAAGAUUUUGGAUUAAGUGAAAGACUAUUAAUUUGCUUGGAUAUACGACUCGAUCUACCUCAAUUAGGUGUUCCUUUCUCAUGUUCAUGUAGAUUUCCUUCUUUUUCCUCAAUUGUUCUUGUUGUUUUCUCAUAACAAAAAAAUAAAAUAAUAGUUGAGAAGCUUAGAAUAUUGUGGAGAUGGUUUUUGGUAGUGAUUACUGAAGGAGACUGAGGUUGGGUUUUUAUCCAUAGUUUUUGUUUUUCAUAAGGUUGAUGUUUGAUGAACAUUGUCGUAUAUUUCUUUAUUUUAUGAACUAAACAUCAUCAUUCAAGCCAUUUGUAGAUUCUUUCUGCAACUCAAAAAGGCAGACUGCUGGAAAGUGAAUCGACUUCAUUUCUACAACUCAGACAGUUUAUUGGGGCUUGUACGGAGCCUAUUAUUGUGUUUGCAACUGAGCUUUUUGUUUGGAACUUCAUUGCGAACGCAGAGAAUUGGCAAUGGAAGCUUUCAGAAAAUCUCUGGUGCUGCUGAAGAAUGGAAAGACAACAUGUGGCCCACCAGUGCUGCCUUUUCCAAAGAAGACACCAAAGAUCCUUGUCACCAGCACCCAUGCUGAGAACUUGGGCUACCAGUGCGUUGGAUAGACAAUUGAGUGGCAAGGACAAUGCAACUGACCUCACUGAAGGCAAGGAUUGACUAUUGGACUGUUGCUCAAAGUAAUAUUCAGAUAUAUGAGGUAAUUACACAAUUUAAUAUAACAAUCCCUUGUAAUGGUAUAGCUUUGCAUCUUUAGAAUUGCUUACGAAGCUUAUGUUGUAGAGGGAAGUCUUACUCUGAGAUCUUAAUUUUAUCAUCAAUGGCAAAGCACAUUUCUUUGA